rnacentral:rRNA from 1 species
GACGAACGCUGGCGGCGUGCCUAAUACAUGCAAGUCGAACGCAGUGGGGACGGGGGAGUAACACGUGGGUAACCUCCCAUCAGAGGGGAUAACAUUUGGAAACAGGUGCUAAACCGAUAUGGAUGGAUAGACCCGCGGUGCAUUAGCUAGUUGGCGAGGUAACGGCUCACCAAGGCCACGAUGCAGAGCCGGCCUGAGAGGGUGAUCGGCCACACGGGGACUGAGACACGGUCCAGACUCCGACGGGAGGCAGCAGUAGGGAAUCUUGGGCAAUGGACGAAAGUCUGACCGAGCAACGCCGCGUGUGUGAAGAAGGUUUUCGGGUCGUAAAGCUCUGUUGUUAGAGAAGCGGUAUCUAACCAGAAAGCAACGGCUAACUACGUGCCAGCAGCCGCGGUAAUAC